AAAUUGAAGAGUUUGAUCAUGGCUCAGAUUGAACGCUGGCGGCAGGCCUAACACAUGCAAGUCGAACGGUAGCACAGAGAGCUUGCUCUCGGGUGACGAGUGGCGGACGGGUGAGUAAUGUCUGGGAAACUGCCUGAUGGAGGGGGAUAACUACUGGAAACGGUAGCUAAUACCGCAUAACGUCGCAAGACCAAAGAGGGGGA
rnacentral:rRNA from 1 species